GAUGAAGAACGUAGCGAAAUGCGAUAAGUAAUGCGAAUUGCAGAAUUCAGUGAGUCAUCGAAUCUUUGAACGCACAUUGCGCCCUGUGGUAUUCCGCAGGGCAUGCCUGUUCGAGCGUCAUUUCAACCCUCAAGCCUCGCUUGGUGUUGGGCCCUGCCCGCCGCGGCCGGCCCUAAAGAUAGUGGCGGCGCCGCCUGGCCCUCAGCGUAGUACAGCUCUCGCUCCAGGGUCCGGCGGCAGCCUGCCAGAACCCCCAACUCUGUGGUUGACCUCGGAUCAGGUAGGGAUACCCGCUGAACUUAAGCAUAUCAAUAAGCGGAGGA
rnacentral:misc_RNA from 1 species